rnacentral:rRNA from 1 species
GACGAACGUUGGCGGCGUGCCUAAUACAUGCAAGUCAACUGAAAUACCGGUAGCAAUACUGGUAUGGAGGUGGCGCACGGGUGAGUAACACGUAGGUAAUCUGCCUUCAGGUCUGACAUAACCCAUCGAAAGGUGAGCUAAUAUCAGAUGAUGCAGCGGCUUGACAUCAAGACAGUUGUUAAAGCUUCGGCGCCUGAAGAUGAGCCUGCGUCUGAUUAGCUAGUUGGCGGGGUAACGGCCCACCAAGGCUGCGAUCAGUAGCUGGUCUGAGAGGGUGAUCAGUCGCACUGGAACUGAGACACGGUCCAGACUCC